UACGAAGGUCCCGAGCGUUGUUCGGAAUCACUGGGCGUAAAGGGAGCGUAGGCGGCGUGGUAAGUCAGAUGUGAAAUCCCGGGGCUCAACCCCGGAACUGCAUCCGAUACUGCCGUGCUAGAGGAUUGGAGAGGUAGCUGGAAUUCUUGGUUGUAGCAGUGAAAUGCGUGGAGAUCAAGAGGAACACUCGUGGCGAAAGCGAGCUUACUGGACAAUAUCUGACGCUGAGGCUCGAAGGCCAGGUAGCGAAAGG
rnacentral:rRNA from 1 species